UAAUACGUAGGGUCCGAGCGUUGUCCGGAUUUAUUGGGCGUAAAGAGCUCGUAGGCGGCAUGGUUAGUCGGGAGUUAAAACAUUGGGCUUAACCCAGUGUCGCUUCCGAUACUGCCAAGCUUGAGUAUGACAGGGGAGAACGGAAUUCCUGGUGUAGCGGUGAAAUGCGCAGAUAUCAGGAGGAACACCGAUGGCGAAGGCAGUUCUCUGGGUCAUCACUGACGCUGAGGAGCGAAAGCGUGGGUAGCGAACAGGAUUAGAUACCCUGGUAGUCCACGCCGUAAACGGUGGGUACUAGGUGUGGGAUGUAACCAACACAUUCCGUGCCGGCGCUAACGCAUUAAGUACCCCGCCUGGGGAGUACGGCCGCAAGGCUA
rnacentral:rRNA from 1 species